UUUUCUGCAAAGUGUCAAUGGGAGAUUGUCAGAGCUGGCUUGAGAACUUCUUGCUGAACAGGAAGGAAAUGUUGGAGACCACAGCACCACCGGCCAUGACCCUAGAAGCAUCACGCUCUAAAGUGACAGUCCUCAGGCCCAGGCUCUCGACCCUCCUGCUCCUCAUUGGCUUAGUUCUGCUUUGGCCUGUGUUGACUCUAGCUUGAUCCACACAGAUAAUGUAAGUUACAGCAUGGAGUUUGGAAGAGCCUGAGUGAUAUGGGAUAAAGAUGAAGGCUAACACACGAGAUUCUUCUUGAAAGCCACGUUUGCACAGA